rnacentral:rRNA from 1 species
AUUGAACGCUGGCGGCAGGCCUAACACAUGCAAGUCGAACGAGUGGCGGACGGGUGAGCAAUGUCUGGGAACCUGCCUGAUGGAGGGGGCUAACUACUGGAAACGGUAGAUAAUACCGCAUAACAUCAGCUGUGCCCAGAUGGGCUUAGCUAGUUGGUGGGGUAACGGCACACCAAGGCGACGAUCCCUAGCUGGCCUGCGAGGAUGACCAGCCACACUGGAACUGAGACACGGUCCAGACUCCGACGGGAGGCAGCAGUGGGGAAUAUUGCACAAUGGGCGAAAGCCUGAUGCAGCCAGGCCGCGGGGAUGAAGAAGGCCUUCGGGUUUUAAAGUACUGUCAGCGGGGAGGCGUUACCCGCAGAAGAAGCACCGGCUAACUCCGUGCCAGCAGCCGCGGUAAUAC